rnacentral:ncRNA from 1 species
AUCGCGAGGUGCAGACUGAAGGAAGCUGGAUGUGGGAGCGUUACUAACCACGGGCAAAAUCACGGGUCCACGAACAGAAACGGAAUAUAAGGCCUUAUAAAUCGCAGACAAGCUUGCAAAACAAAGUGAAAUCUGAGUUGCCAAAGGUUUAAGGGUAAAUUCUGGGACUAGAUGUGAGGAAAGUUAU